CCUACGGGAGGCAGCAGUGGGGAAUUUUGGACAAUGGGCGCAAGCCUGAUCCAGCAAUGCCGCGUGCAGGAUGAAGGCCUUCGGGUUGUAAACUGCUUUUGUACGGAACGAAACGGUUCGCUUUAAUACAGUGGGCUAAUGACGGUACCGUAAGAAUAAGCACCGGCUAACUACGUGCCAGCAGCCGCGGUAAUACGUAGGGUGCAAGCGUUAAUCGGAAUUACUGGGCGUAAAGCGUGCGCAGGCGGUUAUAUAAGACAGAUGUGAAAUCCCCGGGCUCAACCUGGGACCUGCAUUUGUGACUGUAUGGCUAGAGUACGGUAGAGGGGGAUGGAAUUCCGCGUGUAGCAGUGAAAUGCGUAGAUAUGCGGAGGAACACCGAUGGCGAAGGCAAUCCCCUGGACCUGUACUGACGCUCAUGCACGAAAGCGUGGGGAGCAAACAGGAUUAGAUACCCUGGUAGUCCACGCCCUAAACGAUGUCAACUGGUUGUUGGGUCUUCACUGACUCAGUAACGAAGCUAACGCGUGAAGUUGACCGCCUGGGGAGUACGGCCGCAAGGUUGAAACUCAAAGGAUUGACGGCUGAGACGNGCGAGACGACGACGAGGGAGGAGG
rnacentral:rRNA from 1 species